UACAGAGGGGGCAAGCGUUAUUCGGAAUUAUUGGGCGUAAAGGGCGCGUAGGCGGUUUGGCAAGUGGAAGGUGAAAUCCCUCGGCUUAACCGAGGAACUGCCCUCCAAACUGCUUCGCUUGAGACCGGGAGAGGUGAGUGGAAUUCCCAGUGUAGCGGUGAAAUGCGUAGAUAUUGGGAGGAACACCAGUGGCGAAGGCGAGUCUCUGGGAUGAUACUGACGCUGAUGCUCGAAAGCUAGGGGAGCAAACGGG
rnacentral:rRNA from 1 species